GCCUGCUGCCAAGAGCUAAGGGUCUCAAUACCUGGGGCCUGCAUACAAACUAUAACACUUGAAAGGAUAAGGACCCUGAAACCUCCGACCGUCGCAAGGACUGUAAAACCGCAGGAUUCCACUUGCUGCAUGGUCUACUGCCACUGUUUGGGGCUGCCAAACAAUUGGAAAAAGAAAAGCUGCCAGAGACCAGUACACUGAUGCUCACAGGGCCUUCAAGAAGCAGAGUCUAAACCCUCACUCAAUGAACAGUUCAGUAAGUUCAUGCAGGAAAGAAGGCUUCCAAUGGCAUUUAGACAAACGAUCAUAGAGGGCGCUCUGCUCCACAAGGAAGAACGUAGACCACUCAGCUGGCUGGAAGAUCUCACUUAG
rnacentral:lncRNA from 1 species